GAAGAAAGAGGGAGGCGUGCUUAACACAUGCAAGUCGAACGGUGAACUCCGCUUGCGGGGGGAUCAGUGGCGAACGGGUGAGUAACACGUGGGCAACCUGCCCUCAGCUCUGGGAUAACUCCAAGAAAUUGGGGCUAAUACCGGAUAUGACCGCUGACCGCAUGGUCUGGUGGUGGAAAGAUUUAUCGGCUGGGGAUGGGCCCGCGGCCUAUCAGCUUGUUGGUGGGGUAGUGGCCUACCAAGGCGACGACGGGUAGCCGGCCUGAGAGGGUGACCGGCCACACUGGGACUGAGACACGGCCCAGACUCCUACGGGAGGCAGCAGUGGGGAAUAUUGCGCAAUGGGCGAAAGCCUGACGCAGCGACGCCGCGUGGGGGAUGACGGCCUUCGGGUUGUAAACCUCUUUCAGCAGGGACGAAGCGAAAGUGACGGUACCUGCAGAAGAAGCACCGGCCAACUACGUG
rnacentral:rRNA from 1 species